rnacentral:lncRNA from 1 species
UAUUAACUCGUGUUUUAGACUAUUUUAUUUCUAUUUAACUCUUUAACAUCGAAUUGGGGAUAGUUGGCUGGCCUUGUCUUCACGAGAGGCGCCAUCACGACUGGGUCUGGGUUUAGGGUCGUGACAACUGUCUACAGACCUCUAAUAGAAACAUAGCUGUACAAAGACAGGAUUGAGCCAUGUCAUACCUAUAUAUAUAUAUACAAACGUAUCGUACCAAAAUCAAAGCAGCUCCGGAUCAAGUGGAGCACACCAACUUUCGCUGAUCAGGGAUCCUAAGGAGGGGGACCGUCAACUUGCCUACCUGCACAUGCGGGCAUGAAACGCAGGCACCGUGAAAUAGGGCGUCAGUACGAAAAAUGUACUGAGUAUGUAUGGCAUGAAAAUUAAUAUGGAAAAGACAUAGAUGAAACAUGGAAUACAGAAACACAUCUUUAAAUCUGAAUAACUUUGUAAAUUCUGAAACGUUUAUAAUAUCAUGCACAUGCGUAUAAAUGUCGUGUCAUGCAUAAGUAUGGGUGUAUAAUAUCAUCAAGCCAUUGAGGGAAUCCCAUCUUAUCGUCUCGGCCUUUGUGGGAAACAUCAUCAACAUAUACUAGCUGAUCAGAUGGUGGUGCUUAUAUAACGCCAUAACCUUUUUCCAUAUCCCAUAUACAUAUAUUUACAUAUAUACGCGUAUAUAAUACCAUCUGGUCAUGGGUCAAUGCACGUGAGUGAAAUGCAUGAAAAAUACGUAAUAAUCUCAAUAUUCCUUCCGAAUAAACUUUUCCAUCUGCGUAUUAUUGUGAGACCAUGAACAGAAAAUAAUAAUAAUUUUCAAGGAGAAUCAAGAAUAUAGACACCCCUAAUAAUUCUAUAAAUAUAGUAAUUUAUGGAAAUUGUGUAUUUGCUCGUUUCAUCAAUAUAAUUUAGACCAUGCCAAACAAAAAAAGGGAGGGCCGUAACAUACAUGUUUCUUAAAUGAUUUGAACGAAUCUGCUUCCGCAAAAUUUACACUGAAUUUCCAUGAAAUUGGAACGAACUUGGCUUGGUUUUGAAAUUUUGGACGAAUUUUGAUUCUAAUUCUGUUCUUUAACAUUUUUUUCUUAAAGAUAAAAUGUCUUUGAAAUUUUACCAAGAAUCAGAAAGGUCUACUAUUCUUUUGUCCAAAAGGAAUCCAACCUUUAAGAUAAUCAAGUCUUUCUUUUAAAAUGACUCAUUCUAAUGAUUCAUUUAGUGUUUUUACACGUUACAUUGUUAUCAAACAUAUAUUACUAUGAGUCAUAUGUUGAAUGGUGGCAUACUAACACGUGGGGAGUAGGGGUGGGAUAUUAAAUUUUUUAUCUACUUAUUAGUUAAUUGGGUAAUGUCCUGUUACCCGGUAAUUAAUCAAUUACUCGCAUAAUUUAUAAUUUACCACAAAUUACUUAAAGUUCUAUUUAUUUAUCAAAUACUUCAUAUAUACUUUAUCUAUUAUACUACCGUGGUCAUAUGGUACCUUGCAUGGUAAUAGUUCAUAAUUAUCGAGUAUUAUCGCUCGACCCGUAUUUUAUUCCAAAUUGGCCACUUUCAACGAAACUUGUUUUCUUUAAUCUGUGUACUCCCUUAUCCUUCAUUACACUUAUUUAUCGCUUGUUAUAAAUAGCGUAAGUACAUUAACGUCAAGAUGAUCUCAUCCCCAAGUCUACGUCGGUUAACUGAAAAUGAAAUUUAAACGUACGAAAACGCGAGAUGUAACACCAUCAUAUCAUCUUAGCCACUGUGGGCAAAAUCAUCAUCGUAUGCCAUAUGAUCAGGUGGUGGUGCGUAUAUAAUGCCAUAACCUUUUUUCCAUAUCCCAUAUACAUAUAUUUACAUAUAUAUGCGUAUAUAAUGCCAUCUGGUGCCACUAUGGGCAAAAUCAUCAAUAUAUACCGGCUGAUCAGGUGGUGACGCGUAUAUAAUGUCGUAACCUUUUUCCAUAUACCAUAUACAGAUAUAUACAUAUAUAUGCAUAUAUUACACCGUUUGAGUCAUAGAUAAAUGCACAUAUAAAUGAAUGCAAUGCAUGAGAAAUACGUUAAUAAAAUCUCUCGGAAUGUCAUUGAUUAUACCUUCAACUACAACUGAAGUAUGUUGACAUUGUGUUAGUAUCUUUGAUGGAUUAUUCAUUCAAAUUUCCUUUUAUUGCUUUCCUUUGAUCUGCAUGUUUUCAUAUGGCUCAACCCAACCCCUAAUUUCUUUACAUGUCUAUAAUCUUUUGGGGUAUAAAGUAUUUUUGGAGCAAUGUAUUGUCAAAUUAUUAGACUUUCACAACUAAAGUAUCUUGAUAUUGUGUAAGUAUCUUUGAGAGAGUAUGUAUAAUAUUUUCUUGCCGUGUACAUUGCUGAAGACUUAAAACUUCAAACACAAUUUUCAUUUUUUCAAGAUAGGCAUUAUCCAAAUGUAAAGAACGCGAUUAUUAGAUACAUACUCAUACAAAAUCAUACAUAUUUCAAAUACAUGUACAAUUGCUAUGCAUAAUUAUUCAAGAAACUUUCUUUAUAUAUAACAAUGUACACAUUAAUACAUAUUUGAAAAAGGAUACAUAUAGUACAUGUAAAAGUUAAUAGUAAUAUUUUAUCAUAAUAUUCAUAGUACCUCGUGGGCGUCGUGGCGCUUCACUUUCUAUUCUUAAAUUGUUAAGAGUAGAAUCACUUAUGGAAUAGCAUUACAUCUACAUAUCGUUACGUGAAUUAUGCCAAAAUAAAGAAGGGAUAACCUUAACAUACCUGAGACAAUUAAAAUGAGAAUGAUUACAUCAAGUCCUUGAACAUUAUGAGAAGAACAUGUUGG